rnacentral:tRNA from 1 species
GGCCCCUUAGCUCAGCGGUUAGAGCAGGCGACUCAUAAUCGCUUGGUCGUUGGUUCAAACCCAACAGGGGCCACCA